AUCAGCACUCUAGAUUUCCUGCGGGAUUUCCCGAGGAUCAAGCUUCUAGAGGAGGGUUGUGAGAACAUCACAAUAUACUACUUCACGGCUGGGAUGUUGGUAGCCAAAAGUGUGCAGGACGCCCAAUAUAUGUACGUCGUUAAAUAUGGAACAGCAUUCGUCAUCUCGGAGAAAAUACCACCACCUGAAAUGGUAGAAAGAUACAAUGAACUGAUGGAAAAGAAGAAGU